AUUUCCUACGGGACGCAGCAGUGAGGAAUAUUGGUCAAUGGUCGGGAGACUGAACCAGCCAAGCCGCGUGAGGGAGGAAGGUACAGAGUAUCGUAAACCUCUUUUGUCAGGGAACAAAGGCGGGGACGUGUCCCCGGAUGAGUGUACCUGAAGAAAAAGCAUCGGCUAACUCCGUGCCAGCAGCCGCGGUAAUACGGAGGAUGCGAGCGUUAUCCGGAUUUAUUGGGUUCAAAGGGUGCGCAGGCGGUCUUUUAAGUCAGCGGU
rnacentral:rRNA from 1 species